rnacentral:rRNA from 1 species
AUACAGAGGGUGCGAGCGUUAAUCGGAAUUACUGGGCGUAAAGCGCGCGUAGGCGGCUACUUAAGUCAGAUGUGAAAUCCCCGGGCUCAACCUGGGAACUGCAUCUGAUACUGGGUAGCUAGAGUUUUGGAGAGGGAAGUAGAAUUUCAGGUGUAGCGGUGAAAUGCAUAGAGAUCUGAAGGAAUACCAGUGGCGAAGGCGACUUCCUGGCCAAAAACUGACGCUGAGGUGCGAAAGCGUGGGUAGCAAACAGGAUUAGAAACCCUAGUAGUCC